AACAGCUUGCAAUUGCUCAUUCCGGUAACGUGCACUGAGUUUUGAAAGCAUUUAUUUGCGCACUAGUUUUUCGAUGCUCAGAAAACUUAAGAUGGUUCAUUUUGUGCAGGCAUAUGCCCAAAAACUUCACAAAAUAACAUUGGAUAUGGUGGUGGUUUUUUUUUUUUUUUUUUGUGAUUCUUUCAUAAACUAUUUGGAAAUUGCAAUUUUUGUUGUAUCGAUCCAUAGGGUUUUCUUCUUCUAUUUAUGUUUGAAUCAAUGGUAUUGAUCUAUGGUUUUGUACUGAUCCAUGGCGAAAUGGUGUUGUGUAUUGAUUGAGAAACAAUGAACCGAACCGAAUUGAACCAAACCAAGAAUUUUUAGUUUGGUUUGAUUUCUCGCGCAUUUCGGUUCGGUUCCAGUUGACAUUUUAUAUGAAAUCGGUUUUUUGAUUUUUCAAUUUCGGUUCGAUUCGGAACCAAACCGAUCAAAUGCCCUCCCCUACUCCUUAAUACUAUUUUUGGUAAUAAUAAUUAGUUCUUUAUUACCUAAUUAUUUUAGUUUUAAAUUGAUUAA
rnacentral:misc_RNA from 1 species